ensembl:snRNA U6 U6 spliceosomal RNA
GUGCUCGCUUCAGCAACACAUAUACUAAAAUUGGAACAACAGAGAUUAGCAUGGGCCCUGUGCAAGGAUGCCACGCAAAUUUGUGAAGUGUUCCACAUUUUA